CAUGGAAGCUAAUAGACUGGUGGGGAGGGGGGGGUUCUACCCUGUAUUUGUGAAGCAGAACACUGUGUUGUGAUUUUUAGAUCAGACACAGGGAGGCAGCAGUAAGCCAAUGAGGAGCAGGAACAAUGGGAACAGCUUUGAGCCAGAAAGUUUGACUCUAGACCAGGAGAAGCCAGCUAGCUGUUUAAAAUCAUUUAAACCAAACAGAAACACAUUAUUUUAAAAACUUUAAAAUCAAACAUUAGCAGAAUUUACCGUUCUAGCAUAUGUUUUCUGCUCCCUGUUAGCGCUUAAUUUCAUUCACUUCCCAAAUGUUUUGCUUUGCUUACUCACAAUUUUCUUUUCUUUUUAUUUUUUAUUUUUCAGUAAUCCCUGCACCCAACGUGGGGCUCGAACUUACAACCCCGAGAUCAAAAGUUGCAUUCUGUACCGAGACAGCCAGGCACCCCGACAAUAUUAUUUUUUAAUCCAUUUAGGAGUGUGAGUAUUUUAAAGCUGACAAGCAUCUUCCUGACUGGUCCAAGUUGAAGCCCCAGGAGUGGAUCAAGAUAUUCCUACCCCAGGAGGACACAGAAGGCAAGCCCGGAGCGGUGCAGAAGGUAAGAAGGACCGCCUUAGUGGAGAACCCACGGUGGACUGGAGCUGACAACAUCGUUAGAGCAAAUUGGUUUCCAAGGGCUCCUUUUUAAACGAGGGAACGCAGCCGCACUACCUCUGCCUCCCCAAAGAGGAUUCAUCUCAUCCCUGCCUGUCUGAAACCUGGAUGCUGCAGGCUGGGGAUUUCGUAAACAAAGAACUCUGUGAGGCAAGCACUCUUACGGCUCCAUAUUAAAGCUGAGGUCCCUGAGGCCCAAAGGAUGGAGUGGUUCUUCAAGGAGCGGUGCAGCCAGCAUUUGAACUGAGCAGAAAGUUGGAAAUGUGGCUACAAAGUUCAGGAGCAACCAUGGGAAUAGAAAUCUCGCUGCAGAGUCAAGAGCAGAGACUUGUUACCGAAUGAACAGGCAUAUCCAGGAAUAGCAUGGAGAUGGGGACACAAGUGGUCUGAGCCGGAGCCUGGGGGACAUUGGACAGAAGACAUGAAGUAUAACAGAAUGUACAGCUCAGUCUGGAUGAGACUCUCUGAGAGCAAAGCUGUUUAUUUGGCUCACCACUGUAUCCCUGUACCUGGAGCAGAGCUCAGCAUGCAAUAGCUAUGUAGGCCACGAUUUGCUCAGCAUAUCUCUUCCUAAAUUCCAAGACAGGCUUCUUGCUCUGUUCAGUCAAGACUGCCAACCCAGGAAACAUUUUCGAAAGAUCACAGUCAACGUCAUUGCCAAAAGAAGAAGUUCUUGGCACGCGAAGAACCGGGUUCAAUAUGAGAUGCCAGAUGGUGAUUUCAACUUCAGCUGAAUUCCUGCUGGAAAAAACUGUUUGAACUGCAGAUGAGAAAAGAUGCUAUGACAAAUUUCCAAGUGUUAGGAACUUCAGAGGGAAAUGGCAAGUGUUGAUACACCACCCCCCCCCCCGUCCCUCCAACCACAUGCACACAUACCAUAGAACUACUUACUACCUGCAUCUGGUAGUUAAGAUUCCCACAAAGAUGCCUCUGCUUUUUAAGAAGAUUAAGCCAUGUCUUGAUUUUUACUAAUAUUAAAGUAUACUAACUGAGUCCAUUGAAAGCAAAUACUAUAUGAUUCCACGUGGUGUUUUUCAAAGGAUGUGUCCCCUUAGCAUCUGCGGUGAGCUUUUUUGGUAUCUGGAGGUGGUUCUCAUUCCUCUCUACUAAUAACUCCAUUAUUAAACCAAUUAAUAAUCAGCAUGUCUCCCCUCCCUAUUUUCAAAUUACAGGGAAUAUAUAUGAACUAUAAAUUGAUGGUGCUCUGCCUGGAUGCUCUUGGGUCCCUGACUUACUGGUGCAGGAGAUCGAAAGCCUAGCUCCCCUGAGUCAAGUCAGGGCAUAUUCUGGAAUGUGGUUUAUGCUCCAGAGCUCCUCUCCAGAUCCUGAUGAGGUUGGGGCUUUGCCUGAAAGUGGGCCCUCGGCUGGCUCCUUCUCUUCUGCUUUCCCUGUCUUGCUCCUCCCUCCCCUCCUUCUUUUCUCCACCACGCUCCCUUACAGAAUGAAGGAGUAUCUCUUUAACAACAUUCUUGCACACAAAUCCUCAUCCCAGGGUCUGCUUCUGGGGAAAUGACUUAAAAUUCUGUGUAGUGGAAAAUUUCAUUUCAUGCUGAUAUAAAAAAAAAAAAAGUUAUUUCCUGCUGAUAGAUAGAAGAGUCACUGUUUCUGGAGCAAGGAAUGCAUGCAUAUCUAUUUUAUCAAUCAAAAGCUCAGAAGGAAAUAGUGGAUGAACUCAAAUUAGGUAUUUGGAGAAUAGUUAAUAAGGAGACUAAUUACAAAGGGGUGGGCUGGGUGCAGAGAAACAAGGAUAGGGCCUGCCUGCUGUUACCAAGCCCCACUGAUAUCUGGAGAACUGGUGACAGAGUUGUGUGGAGAGGGCUGUGGCAGAAGCUGUGGUCUUAAGGGAUGCAACCAGCCUACAGAGACCCUAUAGGGGGUAAGCUGGCCAAAUAAAUACCCCAAUCUCAUGCCCCUUCAUUCCUCCAAUCUUUUGCCAGUGACCCCAUGAGCUGAACCUAAUGGGAAGCCAGGUGCAAAAGGGCCCCUUCAUGCAGUACAUCUAAGCUGGCCUCUUAGGUCAUGGGGCAGGUGGAGAAGGGCAGAGAGGGCAUCCAGAGGGACAAACAGAGGCUCUCCAGCACACCCACCUACCUAUUCCCCCCGUUUCUCUCUCUCUCUCUCUCUCUCUCUCUCUCUCUCUCUCUCUCACACACACACACACAGAAUUUGCCUGUUCUUGACUUUGACCUCAGAACAGACACACAUAAAAUAGUCCCUAAUUUUUCUCUCUGUUGAUCUUGUUUUCUUUUAUCUUAUUUAUAGUUUAGGGACCCAGAGAUAGGCUGAUGAUGUUGCUCAUCACACAGCCUAUCAAUAAUCAAGAAUCGGAAAAAAAAAAUUUUUAUUUUUUAUUAAAGUCUGGGUGUGGUAUCUGGGCAUCGCCACAGUAGCCCCCAAAACCCCACCCUCUAAGAUGGCAUUUUUUUUUUGUAGACUGAAAUAUGACUCACAGAGCUCACUACCAUAAAAUUUAUCAUCACUUACACCUCCAUACUUUGGUGGAAAGAUCUCUAAUUUAUAUCCCAUACCCAUUUUCUCCCAAUUGAAAACAAAAUACAAAUCAAAGAUUUAUGUGGGUUUUUUUUUUUUUUUUGGUAAUAGCAUAUUUAAUUUCUUUCUCAUCAAUCCAAAAAUGCCCUCAUUAUUCAGUUUACUCCCAAAUGUCCUCAUUAUUGGAAGCCAUGCUCUCUUACUAUUGGUCUCAUUUUCUGUUUCUGAAAUGGUCAUUUUCCUCCCAAACAGCUUUGGCCUGGUUCAGAAUAGAAAGCACUGCAAAAUGUGCAGAUUGAAGACAAACGGUCACUCAGUUACUUCAAGGUCUUUGAGAUUAAUCAUUGGAAAGCAACAUCCUGGUCUUUGGGAUGCUGGCAGGAGCUGAUGCGGGUGAGAUGAAGGAUAGAUGAUGGAGAAGAACCACUUGCACAAUCCCCAGAGGACAGGCCUUCUGGGCCCCUAGCCCUCUCUCUGCUGGGUGCCCUGCAGACCCAGAUACAGCCGAGCACAAAACAGCUGUUUGCAUCAUCCACAAACCCUCCCGGAAGGCAAGUGCCAAGGGUGGUCAGUCCAGCCUGAGGAGUCUGAUGCAAUCACUGUGAGAUCAACUUGAGCAAGGCCCCCAACCGUCACAAAUUCCUUGUGAGAAGGAACAGGGUUAGAUGCACUUAGAAUCUUCUUCUUGUUCUAACAUUGCACUGUGGGUAGAGUAGCCAUUGGCCACAUGUGACUAGUCUGAAUUGAGACGUGCUGUCAGUACCAAAUACUCACCACAUUCAAAGACUUAGUACAAACACUAAUGUAAGUUAUAUCAUUAAAAAGUUUUGAUAUUGGUUACAUGUUGAAAUGAUAAAAAUUUGAGUUUGUAUUCGGUUAAAUAAAACAUAACAAUUCUACUAA